UACAGAGGUGGCAAGCGUUGUUCGGAAUUACUGGGCGUAAAGGGCGCGUAGGCGGUUCGUUAAGUCCUGUGUGAAAUCCCCCGGCUCAACUGGGGAACUGCACAGGAAACUAGCGGGCUUGAGUUCGGGAGAGGGAAGCGGGAAUUCCGGGUGUAGCGGUGAAAUGCGUAGAUAUCCGGAGGAACACCGGUGGCGAAGGCGGCGUUCUGGACUGCUACUGACACUGAGGAACGAAAGCCAGGGGAGCAAACGGG
rnacentral:rRNA from 1 species